UACAGAGGUCUCAAGCGUUGUUCGGAUUCAUUGGGCGUAAAGGGUGCGUAGGCGGCGCGGUAAGUCGGGUGUGAAAUCUCGGAGCUUAACUCCGAAACUGCAUUCCAUACUGCGGUGCUUGAGGACGGGAGAGGAGACUGGAAUUUACGGUGUAGCAGUGAAAUGCGUAGAGAUCAUGAGGAAGACCAGUGGCGAAGGCGGGUCUCUGGACAGUGCCUGACACUGAGACACGAAGGCCAGGGGAGCAAACGGG
rnacentral:rRNA from 1 species